GCUUAUGACAACUAUAUGACUUAUGCUUUUCCGGUCAGUUCUAGUUCCCACUAUAUGAGAUAUUAUUUAUAUUUGAUGAAUAUUAUGAAGUUGUGGUCUAUUGGUUCUGUAGCAUGAUGAACUAAAGCCUCUAGCCAAAACAUUCACCGACUCCCUUGUCGAGCUAGGAAAUUUGAAGCUCGAACAUUUGCCACAACAGCAUCAUGGAUCUGCCCUCACACUUGUAGAAUCGCUAUCCAGCCUUGUUAUCAUUGGGGAACAACACAGAAUUUGAAACGGGCUGUUCUUUGGCUUUCUGAAAAUCUAACUUUUGAUGUUGAUGCGAGGAUACAUCUUUUUGAGUGCAACAUAAGAGUUCUUGGAGGACUUGUUUCUGCUCAUAUUCUUG